GUUGGGAGCUCUCCCAUAUGGUCGACCUGCAGGCGGCCGCGAAUUCACUAGUGAUUCGUAUUACCGCGGCUGCUGGCACGAAGUUAGCCGGAGCUUAUUCUCCCGGUACUGUCAUUAUCAUCCCGGGUAAAAGUGCUUUACAACCCUAAGGCCUUCAUCACACACGCGGCAUGGCUGGAUCAGGCUUGCGCCCAUUGUCCAAUAUUCCCCACUGCUGCCUCCCGUAGGAGUCUGGGCCGUGUCUCAGUCCCAGUGUGGCUGAUCAUCCUCUCAGACCAGCUACUGAUCGUCGCCUUGGUGAGCCAUUACCUCACCAACUAGCUAAUCAGACGCGGGCCGAUCAAUCGGCGAUAAAUCUUUCCCCCGAAGGGCGUAUCCGGUAUUAGUACAAGUUUCCCUGUAUUAUUCCGAACCGAAAGGUACGUUCCCACGUGUUACUCACCCGUCUGCCACUAGCACCGAAGUGCCCGUUCGACUUGCAUGUGUUAAGCCUGCCCCCAGCGUUCGCUCUGAGCCAGGAUCAAACUCUAAUCGAAUUCCCGCGGCCGCC
rnacentral:rRNA from 1 species